UACAUACUCCCUCCGUCCGAAAAUACUUGUCAUAGGAAUGGAUGUAUCUAGAUGUAUUUUAGUUUUAGAUACAUCCAUUUUUAUCUAUUUGUGCGACAAGUAAUUUUGGAAGGAGGGAGUAGAAG
rnacentral:pre_miRNA from 1 species